CCUACGGGAGGCAGCAGUGAGGAAUAUUGGUCAAUGGGCGCGAGCCUGAACCAGCCAAGUCGCGUGAGGGAAGACGGUCCUAUGGAUUGUACACCUCUUUUGUCGGGGAGCAAAAGACGCCACGUGUGGCGUUCCGAGAGUACCCGAAGAAAAAGCAUCGGCUAACUCCGUGCCAGCAGCCGCGGUAAUACGGAGGAUGCCGGCGAUAUCCGGAUUUAUUGGGUUAAAAGGGUGCGCAGGCGGAAGAUCAAGGCAGCGGUAAAAUUGAGAGGCUCAACCUCUUCGAGCCGUUGAAACUGGUUGUCUGGAGUGAGUGAGAAGUAUGCGGAAUGCGUGGUGUAGCGGUGAAAUGCAUAGAUAUCACGCAGAACUCCGAUUGCGAAGGCAGCAUACCGGCGCUCAACUGACGCUCAUGCACGAAAGUGUGGGUAUCGAACAGGAUUAGAUACCCGGGUAGUC
rnacentral:rRNA from 1 species